CUUCCCCUAGCUGUGGGGAGGUUGAUGGUGUAGCUGGUGUUCCUAAUGGGACAUCAAUGUCUAAGGCCACCUGUGAGUAGAGUUUGUUCUUCAGGAGCAUACAGGACUAACUGGCGCCUCCCUUGUGCUCCUGUUUUAGGGGGCUGCAGACAGGAUGUGCUGGCUGGGACUGGUGCUGAGCUCCCAGACAUGAGGAUGGGAGAGCUGCAGCUCCAGUUCCCCCAUACAACAGCACUAUACAAAGUUGUCUUCUAAAAGACCUUACAUAAAGAAGCAGUGAAGGGUAUAAACUUUUCUCUUUUUAUUCUCUAUAAACCCAUAGAGGUUUCAAAGUCUUUGGGAAAAUGUCCAAAAAAAAGAAAUGAGGUGUUUAAUAGUA